UCGCGGCAUAACCAUUCAAGUUGGAUGGUUAUGCUGAAGACAGUCAACGGCAUAACCAUUCAAUUUGGAUGGUUAUGUCGUUGUAUGUCAUCGGCAUAACCAUUCAACUUGGAUGGUUA